rnacentral:rRNA from 1 species
UGACCUCAAAUCAGGUAGGACUACCCGCUGAACUUAACAUAUCAAU